UACGGAGGGUGCAAGCGUUGUUCGGAAUUACUGGGCGUGAAGCGCGUGUAGGCGGCCGAUUAAGUCUGGUGUGAAAGCCCGGGGCUCACCCCCGGAAGUGCGCUGGAAACUGGUCGGCCAGAGUAUGGGAGAGGAAAGUGGAAUUCCCGGUGUAGCGGUGAAAUGCGUAGAUAUCGGGAGGAACAUCUGUGGCGAAGGCGACUACCUGGACCAGCACUGACACUGAGGCACGAAAGCGUGGGGAGCAAACAGG
rnacentral:rRNA from 1 species